AUACGUAGGUGGCAAGCGUUGUCCGGAAUUAUUGAGCGUAAAGGGCGUGUAGGUGGAUUUUUAAGUCGUGUGUCUAAGUGCGGGGCUCAACCCCGUAUAGGGCGCAGGAAACUGGAGAUCUUGAGUGCAGGAGAGGAAAGUGGAAUUCCCAGUGUAGCGGUGAAAUGCGUAGAUAUUGGGAGGAACACCAGUGGCGAAGGCGACUUUCUGGACUGUGUCUGACACUGAGGCGCGAAAGCCAGGGGAGC
rnacentral:rRNA from 1 species